AUAAAUACAAGUAGGCGUUCAUUCUAAAAACAAUGAAAACUAACGAUCCAAAUUUUUUCUUACUAGAAUUAUUAUUUUUAAAUUUUAAAAUGUACUUUUUUUUUCGUAUUCAUGAUCUCCAUGUUAGAGAUUCCAUGUUUUCAAAACUAAAUCCAAAAAUCCAUCUCAAAAUAGAUUUAUUAAUAGGCCUGCAUUUUUACAUAUGCGAGCUUGGUUGCAUAGAAAUCGGGUCCUCUUGGAAUUGUCUGAGCUCUUGUUGAUUUUAGAUAAGAAAACAAUAACAGAAUCAUCAUAGAAAAUUAUUAGCAGCUUGAAAAUAGAAUCCACAACCCAAAACCUCGAAAUAAAAUUCCACAACCAUAGGGCUUGCUUGGUAGCCUUAUAGCAAUAUGUAAAUUGCAACCAUAGGGCGUGCUUAGUAGCCUUAUAACAAGCUGUAAAUUCUGCUUC
rnacentral:lncRNA from 1 species